AAAGAGUCAACAAGUUCAAUAUUCUUUCUACAUUUUGGAGUUAUAGUUCCCACUCAGUAAGUGGGAAGUAUAAUUGUUCAACCCAAGUGCAGGAAUUGAUACAUUUUAACUGCUGAAAAUUUUGGAUGCUUGUGCUUUUUCACCAUUAUUAUUUGCAAAUUCAGUUAUGAUUGCAGAUUCAUAAGAUUCUUCAAAUUUUCAUGAGGAUGUUUAUGUCAAGUGGGAUUACAUCAAGAGAGAAGUCAGUCUACAAAACAAAAGAGAGAUAACUGGAAGUCAUUCAGUGUGCUUAGAACAGAGGAGUGCAUAAGGAAGAAAAUCAGAAUGUGAUUUAAAGAAGUGGAGUUGACUCAGAAAAUUCAGGGUGUUCUUUCUGUGAGUAUUUGGGGCAAAAUUUUGUUAUGAGACCCCUUCCAAUCACCUUCUAUUCAUCAAGCUGUAAGUAUAUAGCACUUAUUAUAUUCUGCUUUGUAUUGAAGGUACAGUUAGCUCUUUGUUGAUUCAUUUUUUUUACAUGCCUGCCAACACUGUCAUCCCUCCUGUGAUGCAUGGACCCAGCCUAAGUUAGGGAAUAGCUCUCUGGUGUACAGUAAUCUUUCAAUCCUAACCCAUGACCUACGAACAUUCCCACAGUUUCACAAAAUCUGGGGGUAUCAUGGGCCUACCAUUUUCUUUCACUCUCAUUUCUGAUUUUGAUUAACUCUUUUCACAUAAGCCACCAUUUCUCAUGGCAGUGCAUUUGCUUUGUUACUUCUUUUAAUCUUUCUGAACGUUGACACUCAGAGAAAGGAAAUUAAAUCCCUAACUAGCACAGUAUAUAGCAGAACAUUACUUAGUCU
rnacentral:lncRNA from 1 species